UUCCGUAGGUGAACCUGCGGAAGGAUCAUUGUCGAAACCUGCCCAGCAGAACGACCCGCGAACAUGUUUAUUAACGGCGGAAGGGGCCUUGUGCUCCUGACGCAAGGCUCUGCGAGGUGGGAACACCUAACAGUUGCCUUGGAAACCAACCCCGGCGCGGAAAGCGCCAAGAUAAACUAUCGAAAAAGUGAAAACUCCCUCAUCGCCCCAGGAAUGGUGUGCGCAUGAGGGGUGUUUAUACUCGGUAAACUUAAACGACUCUCGGCAACGGAUAUCUCGGCUCUCGCAUCGAUGAAGAACGUAGCGAAAUGCGAUACUUGGUGUGAAUUGCAGAAUCCCGUGAACCAUCGAGUCUUUGAACGCAAGUUGCGCCCAAAGCCCUCGGGCUAAGGGCACGUCUGCCUGGGUGUCACGCAGUGUCGCUCCACCUUUCUUAUCAAUUGGGAUAGAAAAUGAGUUGAGCGGAAAGUGGCCUCCCGUGAAUUGUUUGUUUGUGGUUGGCUUAAACAUGAGUCCAAGUCGGCGAGUGCCGUGGCAUUCGGUGGUUGUAACAUCACUUGAUAUUGCCGUAAUUUGGCCAAAACCAACAAGGAUCUCUAGGACCCCUUUAUAUAUUCGACGCGACCCCAGGUC
rnacentral:rRNA from 1 species